UACGGAGGGUGCAAACGUUGCUCGGAAUCAUUGGGCGUAAAGCGCACGUAGGCGGCUUGUUAAGUCGGAUGUGAAAGCCCUCGGCUCAACCGAGGAAGUGCAUUCGAAACUGGCAGGCUUGAAUAUGGAAGAGGGUCGCGGAAUUCCCGGUGUAGAGGUGAAAAUUCGUAGAUAUCGGGAGGAACACCAGUGGCGAAGGCGGCUCACUGGUCCGGUACUGACGCUGAGGUGCGAAAGCGUGGGGAGCAAACAGG
rnacentral:rRNA from 1 species